GACUGAACAACAACAACAACAACAACAAAAAUCCUAUUCCCCUCAGUUUAUAGAUGAGGGAAAAUGCUUGCCUAAGGUCCCACAAGGCAGUCACUGGGGGAUAUGUCCCUUGAUUCCAAACAGAGCUCUGCUCAUAUGCAUUCCACUGCCUCUCCGGAAUACUGACCGUGUCAUCCUAGGCAAUUCCUUUAACCUCUCAGGCUACUUGUCUUAAGCCUGUUAAACUGCUGAAUAAUUUCUGAUCUAUGUUUGAAAAAGUAGUGUUCUCUCUUGAAAAUCCAGAUACCGAUGAAAUCAAAGAACCCCAAACUAAACCAGAAUGAACUUCCCCAUUAUUUGGGCAGAGAAGUGUGCAAUGAAGGACUUUAUAUUUGAUCUUUGAGGUAGUGGAGAGCCAUUGGAAUGUGUUGAUAAGUAAAGAGUAAUGCAGUCAUAGCUGUGCUUUGGGAAUAUCACCUUUGACAGUCCUAUGACAAUGCUUUGGACUGGGGAAGAGACAUGAAACAGGGAGACAAUUAGACACCCAGGAUCAUCGAUUUAUAAUUGGAAGAAACCUUUAGAAGUCACCUAGUAGAUAAGAAAAACAGAGAGGUGAAGGAACUUGCCUACUGUCACACAUUUGAAAAGCCAAGAUUCUGCCCAGAUUCUUGACUCCAUUCAGCCAUGGAAACAUUUCGCAACUUUCCAUCAAGCACCUCUUUUCUCAUCUUGGUGGUUUAUCGAUCCUCCUGAUUUCUGGAGCAUUGGGAUCCCCAAAUCUGGUAUGGAAGACAGAGGGUCUCAUCCUUUGCCAAUUCCCCCUCCCAGGCCACACCAUCCCCAGAUGCUGAGUGGCUUCAGAUGGACACUUCUAGGGGGGAAAAAAAGAUUUCUAAUUCGGAUCCAAAAGAGAAAGCUGCAUUCCAGGAGGAUCGCUCCUUCUUUGAGAUGACUGAGACAAUUCUGCAGUUCAGCUGGAUCCUGCAUGGCUUUCUCUCUAGUUCAUAAAUCUUUCUUCACGCUUACAAUUGAGGGCAGGACUCAGAGGUGACAGCAUUGUUAGACAGAGAGACAGAAGAGACAGCUUUGAAGAGUCAGUCUAUUCAUUGGUGCGCUACCUACCGCUGUGCCAGGCAGCAAGGGGGAAGCACACCUGUUUAAUAAUAUGCCCAUUAGCAGGGUAGGUGCUGUAAUGAUUGAGCCCCAGGGCAAAAUGGCCUUUCAUCAUAGUGAGGAUAGCUGACCUUUUCACAGCUCUUUCUACAUGUAAUUUUCAAAGCCUUUUUCUUCCAACAUUGUAAGGCAGAUAGUUUGAGUAUUAUUAGGCCCGUUUUACAGCUGAGGAAACUGAGGCUCAGAGCUCUGAUUUGCCCAUAGUCAUACAUAUUAGUAAAGGGAAGAACUGGGACUCAGAGAUUUAGAGGUGAAAAGGACUUUAUUGUUGUUGUUCAGUCACAGCUGACUCUGUGGGAGCCCAUGGACCAUUACUUUCCAUGGGUUUUUUUGGGAAAAGACACUGAAGUGGUUCACCAUUUCCUUCUCCAGUGGAUUAAACAAACAG
rnacentral:lncRNA from 1 species